AAGAGGAUGAUGAAAAUAUUCAGACGGAUUCCCAUUGAUUAUUCUAUGAGAACAUUACCAGCUACUUCUGACUCUU